GAGUGGGUUCGAGAGGUCCAUUCACAUGAGGAGAAAACUGAGGAUGCAACCAGAAAGGUCUGAGCACGGGUUUUCACCGGCCCAAAGCGGCGGGGUGGGGGCGUUCCAGCUCCAGGUCCCACCUCCACUUCCACACCUGCACCCCGGGCCGGGGUAGGUGGGUCAGGAGGGUCUGGACUGAGCCGGGGUACGGGGAAGAGGCCGUGCUCCCGGGAAAUCGGAACGCAGUGGCCCCAGGGGAGGAGGGCUGCAGGAGGGCGGGGCGCGCGGCUGCGAAGAGGAAGCCGAAAGGAGGGUGGCUGCGAAGCGGUGCCGCGCGGCCGGGGACUCCUCUCCGUACCACGCCCGAGCGCCGAGGCAGGGGAGGAAGGAUCCCACAAGCCACAGGAGACAGAACUUACUCCGCGGUCCUCCUCGGAGAGGAAGUCGGGGCCGUCGUCCAGGCCUUCCUGCAGACAGGGUGACACCAGUGGAGUAUCUCAGAUGGUCACCGACAAUCUCUUAAGACCCCAGAGGCUACUCAUCGAGAACUUCAGUGGAAGCUCAAGUCAAAGAGCCUGGGGAAAAUAUGGGAGAGAAACUGCCUAAAACAUGACAAUCAUAAGUGUAUUCCUUAAAAUUGUCAAAAUCAUGGAAAUAAAAGGAAAGACAGAAAUUGUCAUAGACCAGAGGAGACUGGGGAAACAUGACACCUGAAUGCAAUGUGGUAUUUAUUAGGUCCUGGAUCAGAGAAAGGACAUUAAUGGAAAAGCUGGCGAAAUCUGAAUAAAGUCCGGCGUUUGGAGAUAAAAGGAACGGGAAGCAAGCAGAGAGUUGGGGACCUCAUACCACCAAGAAAGCAGUGCUGGGAGCAGAGUGCAUCCUUUGGACUCGGGAUUCCAGCUCAGAGAAGCUCCUAGUCAAGGGGAAGAUUGAUGACAAGGACUUUUCUCCAGAGCUGACAGAGAGAGAAAGCCUUCCUCUGGAGGUGACACCCUGAAUUUGGACUUCUGAAAUACAUUUCUCUUUGUUAAAGCCAUCCACUUGUGGUAUUUCUGUUACAGCCGCACUAGAUGACUAAGACAGCACCUAACCACAACACUUACUUCUUUCAAGUCUGAAAUCAGUUUCACUGGCUGAAGUCAAAGCGUCAGCAGGGAUGGUUCCUUCUGGAGGCUCUGGUGGAAAAUCACUUUUUGUAUGUCUGGAAAAGUAUUUUACCUUUGUUUUUAAAAGAUAUUGCUGCUGGUUGUGGGAUUCUAGGUCGACGGUUUUUUUUCUUUUAUUACUUUAAAGAUGUUACUCCGUUAACUUCUGGGUUGUAUUGUUUUUGAAGGGAAGUCUACAGUCAUUCUAAUCUUUGUUCCUCUAUUAAUAAUGUAUCAGGGCAGUGGUGGUUCAGUGGUAGAAUUCUCACCUUCCAUACAGGAGACCUGGGUUUGAUUCUCAGCCAGUGCACCUCGUAUGCAGUCACCACCCAUCUAUCAGUGGUGGCUUAUGUGUUGGUGUGAUCGUUUCAGCAGAACUUCCAGACUAAGACAGAUUAGAAAGAAAGGCCUGAUAAUAUCUAUUCCCAAAAAUCAGCCAAUGAAAACCCUACAGAUCACAACAAUCUGAUCCGCAAACCAUUCGGGGAUGAUGCAGGACUGGAGUGUUUCUUUCCAUUGUGGAUGGGGUCACCAUGAAUCGGAAGCUGAUUCAACGGCAGCUAACAACUGCUUUUUUCAGGUAGGAUCAGUGCAGCCUUUAGGGUUAGUUUGAUUCCAUUACUGAGGCAAUAUCCUUCUCAAGACUCAACCGGAUGCCCUGUGUAUUAGGUUUCUCCACUCUGGUUUUUGAGGAUGUAAGCUAUUCUCAGUCAUGUGUGAGCUUCAGCAAUCUAUCUAGUUUUUUUUGAUGGUUCUUCCCCCAGCCUUGGUAGUUUCUUCACGUACAUGUGCCGAUCAGUACUCAGCUAAAGGCUUGAGGGGAACCCUGUAAGGUCUUUGGCACUCUCUGUCUCACUCUGUGCAGCCCUCUCUCUGGUACUUUGCCCUGCCAAUUCUAACCACAUUGGUCUUUUCAAAUUCUCAACUUUUGUCUUCUCAACGCAUGGAGACAUCAGGGCUCGAUCUGGGUUUCUGCUGGGGCAGUUGUGGGACUUAUCUCUUUUGCUUUCCUCCAGAAAUCACUCUCCUGUGCUGCCUAUCUUCCAGUGUCUAAAAACUCUUGGUUCAGUUAUUUUGUCUAGUUUUUCAGUUAAGGCAGGAGAGCAAAUCCAAUUCCUGUUACUCUAUCAGAAAGCGGAAGCCCCAGGAGCCACAUUCCAAUUACAGGUGCGCUAUUUUCCCUGAGCAAGUUAAUAUACCUCUCAGGUCUCAGUUUCUGAAAUGAUUUUGAAUGAUAUUUAUAUGUGCAUAGUACAAAUGUCAGCUGCAUGAUGUCCCAAAGUCCUCUUAAAUUCAAAUUACAUUUGCUUCAAACACCCACCUCUAGUGUUUCUGGGCAUACUCUGGAGCUUAGCUUUUUCUUGGUGUCCUCUGGUUCUGAGGUCUUAUUUCCAGCAACUCUCCAAUUCCACUGUUCAGUGUUUCUCCUCUCUUUUCCCCACUUUGUUUCCUCACUGGAGACUACCUCAAUUUCUUCUUGCCAAAGCACCUUACUGUACAUGAGCAUAUAUUUUUAAAGGAAUAGAAACAUGGAGGGAAUAACAAUCUGGGACAGCAUGACCAACAACGUAAAAUUGAAUUUUAACGUUUCUGAACUUAAAAAACCUGAUCAAUUCUGUUAUAGAGAAAUCAUCCCAUACCUCUUCCAUUCAGGCCUUUUAGCAUUGUGCCAGACCUCUUUCAGCCUCGUCACUGGCCCAUAUGGUGCCUUUGUAGACAUUUAGAGAAAGGCAUCCCUGCUUUGGAGGCCUCACUAUUCACAAAGUUUGGGUCAGGUUUCAGCUCCAGUGUCCAACCCUGUUUCAGCCCCCUUCCUUAGCUUACUUGCCCUUAACCGCUCAAAUUUUCAUUCAUUUCCUGAAGAACAGUUUAGCUCGCUCUUUACUGGCUCCAGGCUAUCCAAGUUACUCUCAAAGGGCCUUAUCUUCAUAAUUAAUUUUACAAUGUGCUUCUAAACUUUAAUAGUUCUAUUUCAGGAAGGAACACUGCAGUUAGCUUUGGAUUUUUUCUCUCUCCUAUAUGCAUAUCAUAAUGAUGGUCAUGGUGAUAAUGAUGAUAAAGAUAAUAACAGUCCUUAAGUAAAUAUGCUUAAGUUAUUAUAUAAAAAGAAAAGUGGCCUUUUCCAGGAAAAUAAAUGGUCUUCUUUUCUUCCACAUGUAAGCAAUUGCAUAUUAUACCCCUAUUCACUACAGAAUAGAAACUACAGUCUCUAAAGUGCUUUAAGCUCUUGAAAUAAAAAAUGCUUAGCUCUGCAGACAUAUUUUGUAAGUGUUUAUGUUUGGCAGAAAGCCAGUAUAUUCUUGGAAGACAACAGGAUAUCAGCCCAGCUUUAUGAAGCAUAUAUAUUACCGGAGUCAUCACAUUCUCUAACAGACCACGGGGAAGCAAGAGACAUGGGGCAUGCCUUUGACAUAAUAUAUUUCUGCAAUUCUAAAUUGCAUUGACAGCAUUUGGGAGAAACAAAAAAGGCAGUGCCUUAAAUGUUUGCAGCAACUAUAACCUACAUCCUGAUUUCAAAAUUUUAAAAAUGAGAAAAAUAAAAGUGUGUCUGAGAAGUAGGAAAUAUAGAAGUAGCAAGUAUAGCACUUUCUGUGUGGGUCUUCUACAGCAUAUUCGUCUAUAUCCCGAAGAAAGUGUCAUUUCAAUAAUGUUGCUAAAUAAAUGCACAAUAAUCUUUUACAUAGAAACCAGAGAAUCUGUAUAAAUUAGGUAUACCAAAAAAAACCCAUUGCCGUCAAGUCGGUUCCGACUCAUAGCAACCCUAUAGGACAGAGUAGAACUGCCCCAUACGGUUUCCAAGGAGCACCUGGUGGACUUGAUCUGCCAACCUUUUGGUUAGCAGCCGUAGAUCUUAACCACUACCCCACGGUUUCCAAAUUAGAUAUAGGUUAAUUAAAUAGUCUGUUUCUGUAUGUUAUAAACUAGGAGAUACAAAGAUUUUGGACAGGAUAUGAAUAAUAGAGACCAAUCUCUCUCAGUUUCCUCAACUAUACAAUGGAUGAGAGGUUGGUAUAAAGAUUAAGUGGGAUAAUAUGUGCAAGGUGCUUAGGAAAGUGCCUAGAACGUAAUACUGUCCGCUACUGUGCAGAAAUUCAGAGAGAACUGCAAAGAGAAGAAUGGGGGUUUAUUUAUUGCUGGUACUUUUCAAUUCAAUUUCAGCAAAUAUUCAAUGACCCUCUACUUUGUGCUAAGAAUUGUGUUAAGAGCCAAUAUUGUUGUUGUUAGGUGCCGUCGAGUCGAUUCUGACUCAUGGUGACCCUAUACACAACAGAACGAAACACUGCCCGGUCCUGAGCCAUCCUUACAGUCAUUGUUAUGCUUGAGCUCAUUGUUCCAGACGCUGUGUCAAUCCACCUUGUUGACGGUCUUCCUCUUUUCCACUGACGCUGUACUCUGCCAAGCAUGCUGUCCUUCUCCAGGGACUGAUCCCUCCUGACAACAUGUCCAAAGUACGUAAGACACAGUGUCCCCAUCCUUGCUUCUAAGGAGCAUUCUGGUUGUACUUCUUCUAAGGCAGAUUUGUUCAUUCUUUUGGCAGUCCAUGGUAUAUUCAAUAUUCUUCGCCAACACCACAAUUCAAAGGUGUCAAUUCUUCUUCAAUCUUCCUUAUUCAUUGUCCAGCUUUCACAUGCGUAUGAUGCGAUUGAAAAUACCAUGGCUUGGGUCAGGCGCACCUUAGUCUUCAAGGUGACAUCUUUGCUCUUCAACACUUUCAAGAGGUCCUUUGCAGCAGAUUUACCCAAUGCAAUGCGCCCUUUGAUUUCUUGACUGCUGCUUCCAUGGCUGUUGAUUGUGGAUCCAAGUAAAAUGAAAUCCUUGACAACUUCAAUCUUUUCUCCAUUUAUCACAAUGUUGCUCAUUGGUCCAGUUGUGAGGAUUUUUGUUUUCUUUAUGUUGAGAUGCAAUCCUGACUGAAGGCUGUGGUCUUUAAUCUUCAUCAGUAAGUGCUUCAAGGCCUCUUCACUUUCAGCAAGGAAAGUUGUGCCAUCUGCAAAACGCAGUCCUCCUCCAAUCCUGAUGCCCCCUUCUUCUUCAUAUAGUCUAGGUUCUUGUACUAUUUGCUCAGCAUACAGAUUGAAUAGGUAUGGUGAAGUAACACAACCCUGACGCACACCUUUCCUGACUUUAAACCAGUCAGUAUCCCCUUGUUCUGUCUGAACAACUGCCCCUUGAUCUAUGUAAAGGUUCCUCAUGAGUACAAUUAAGUGUUCUGGGAUUCCCAUUCUUCGUAAUGUUAUCCAUAAUUUGUUAUGAUCCACACAGUCAAAUGCCUUUGCAUAGUCAGUAUAGGAGGAAAUAAAGAAGAGUGUUGAAAUUAUCUUGCAGUAGAGAGAGCAGAUGUGAUAUUGGGUAGAUUUAAUUUUAGAAAAUGAAUUUUGGAUUUAGACAUUGAGUAUAUUAUACUCAAAUUACUGAAUAUAUUAAACUUUAAAUGUUAAGUAUAUUAUGCUGCUCUUAAUAUAUAUAAAAAUUUAUUUAGUGUAAAAUGUUCUGUUUUAUAUAGAUGACAUAUAGAUAAUUUUAUAUAAGUAAUUUUGUAUUUGUUAAUAUAGCCAACCACAGGGAUGUUUUAGUUUUAAGUGGCACCAACCCUGGCUCCCCCAAGGCAAUUUAAGUAAAUGUGCUAACUGGAAUAGAGCCCUCACCUCCAAUUCUGUGCCUCCUGAGCAAAUGAAUCCAUUAAGAAUUAUUCUUUACAUCUGAAAUAGCAAACUUGGAGAUGAGAGUAGAAUUGCCCCGCAGGGUUUCCAAGGAGCACCUGGUAGAUUUGAACUGAUGCCUGUUUGGUUAGCUGGCAUAGCUCCUAAGCACUAAGUCACCAGUGUUUCCUCUAAGAUAUGGCAGGCCCUUAAUUCUGAUGACAAAGUAUGAAUGGCCUUGAAGGACACUUUAAGAAAAUUUGACUUAACCCUUGAUGUGUGUGAUAGCAGGUCUCCAAAAUGGCCCCAGUGAUCCUUGCCUCCUGGUAUUCAUGUCCUAGUGCAGUUCCACCCACAUUGAAUUAGGGCUGACAUUAUGACCAUAUUCAUCAGGGCUGGCAUAUGUGACCAAUAGAAUAUAGGAGAAAUGAUUAUGUGGGCUUUCCAAGGCUAGGUCAUAAAAGGCAUUUGGUUUGGCCUCUUGGGUUGCUUGCUCUGGGGAAAGUAGCCUUGUAGAAAGACCCAUGUGGAGACAAACUGAGGUACCCAAUCAACAGCCAACACCAAUUUGCCAGUCACAUGAGUGAAUCAUCUAGAAUAUGAAUCCUUGAGCCCCAGUCAAGCUUUCAGAUGCCUGCAGCCACAGCAAAAAUCUGAUUGUAUUUUCAUGAGAAACCCCAAACAAGAACUUCCUGGCCAUGUCCUCCCCAAAUUCCUGACCCAUGGAAACUGUGAGAGAUAACAAAUGACUGUUGCUAUUUUAAGAUUCUGAAUUUUGGGAUAAUUUAUUACUAAUACAAAAAGUAUGGAGGUCAUGUUAAAUCAUCGAAGAGUUUUAAGCAGAGGAGUAAAUGGUCAGACUUGUAUUUUAGAAAUAAUUCUGUCUGAAAUGUGUAAGUUGGAUAAAAGAGGUAGGAGUCAGGGAGACUAAAGGCAAGAGACUGCAACGUUAUUGCAGCACACAGGUAAGAUGUGAUAGGGACCAAAACAGAUUGAGUGGCAGGUAGGCUGGAGGUUAGAGAAAUGGAUCAAGAGAUGUUUAUAGAAGAUACGAGUGCCCCUAUUGGGUGAAUUGAUUGGCUCUGGCAGGAAAGGAAAGGACUAAAAUGAUUUUCAUGUUCUUUUUUUUUCUAGAAUCUAUGUAUAAAUUUCCCUGGUCUGACUACUUUCUGAAAAAAAUUUCAGUCUAAUUCUCAUCUUACUUUUCUAUCCAGCUCAUAUAUCUCCAUUUGAAGGUCUCAUUCCUUUUCAAGAUAAACCUGUUUUUAUCUAGUUGGAUUUUGUGGCUUUAUAAUAGGUACUAGCUAAAACUGUCUUCCCAUAAUUUGGGAAUGGGUGGGUGUGUGUUUUCUUUAAAGAGAUUGUUCUUUAAGAUGUUUUAUUAUUCUUUAAGAUAUUUUUCUCUUUAUUUAUUAACUUAUAUUAAAGAAUUACUAAAAAUGUUGUUUGUGUUUUAAAUGGUCUUUUAAACUUUUUAAACAAUACAUUUAAGACAUCAGUGAUGUAAUCUGAUUUUUAAGAGUCAGUCGACUUACUUUCACUAACUUUAAACUUAAACAUAGGCUCAUUAAGAAGUAAGCUAAGAAAAAACAGUAACCUCAGGCUCCUAAAGUUCUUUUUUUUUUUUUUAAGUUUUUGUCUUAGUUAUCUACUGUUGCUAUAACAGAAAUACCACACAAGUGGGUGGCUUUAACAAAGAGAAAUUUAUUCCUUCACAGUUUAGGAAGCUAGAAGUUCAAAUUCAGGGCACCAGCUGACAUUCUUUCUCUGUCAACUCUGGGGAAGGUCCUUGUCACCAAAUCUUCCCCUGGUCUAGGAGCUUCUCGGCACAGGGACCUGAGAAGGACACACUCUGCUCCUGGUUCUGCUUUCUUGGUGGUAGCAGGUCCCCUCCUCUCUGCUUACUUCUUUCUUUUAUAUCUCAAAAGAGAUUGACUCAGGAAAUCACCAAAUCAAUACCAUUCGCAGUAGCCCCCAAGAAGAUAAAAUACUUAGGAAUAAAUCUUACCAAAGUUGUAAAAGACCUAUACAAAGAAAACUACAAGGUACUACUGCAAGAAACUAAAAGGGAGCUACGUAAGUGGAAAAACAUACCUUGCUCAUGGAUAGGAAGACUUAACACAAUAAAAAUGUCUAUUCUACCAAAAGCCAUCUAUAUUUACAAUGCACCUUCGAUCCAAAUUCCAACUACAUUUUUUAAAUAAUUUUUUAAGUGAAAGUUUACAAAUUAAGUUAGUCUCUCACGUAAAAACUUAAAUACACCUUGCUACAUACUCCCAAUUACUCUCUCCCUAAUGAGACAGCCCACUCUCUCCCUCCACUCUCUCUUUCCAACUACAUUUUUUAAUGUGAUGGAGAAAAAAAAUCACCAACUUCAUAUGGAAGGGAAAGAAGCCCCGGAUAAGUAAAGCAUUAUUGAAAAGAAGAACAAAGUGGGAGGCCUCACUCUACCUGAUUUUAGAACCUAUUAUACAGCCACAGUAGUCAAAACAGCCUGGUACUGGUACAACAACAGACACAUAGAUCAAUGGAACAGAAUUGAGAACUCAGAUAUAAAUCCAUCCACAUAUGAGCAGCUAAUAUUUGACAAAAGCCCAGUGUCGGUUACUUGGGGAAAAGAUAGUCUUUUUAACAAAUGGUGCUGGCAUAACUGGAUAUCCAUCUGCAAAAAAAUAAAACAGGACCCAUACCUCACACCAUGCACAAAAACUAACUCCAAAUGGAUCAAAGAUCUAAACAUAAAGCCUAAAACGAUAAAGAUCAUGGAAGAAAAAAUAGGGACAACUCUAGGAGCGCUAAUACAUGGCAUAAACAGAAUACAAAACAUUACUAAAAAUGACAAAGAGAAACCAGAUAACUGGGAGCUCCUAAAAAUCAAACACCUAUGUUCAUCUAAAGACUUCACCAAAAGAGUAAAAAGACCACCCACAGACUGGGAAAAAAUUUUCAGCCACAACAUCUCCAACCAGCGCCAGAUCUCUAAAAUCUACAUGGUUCUGCUAAAACUCAACCACAAAAAGACAAACAACCCAAUUAAAAAUUGGGCAAAGGAUAUGAACAGGCACUUCACUAAAGAAGACAUGCAGGCGGCUAACAGAUACAUGAGGAAAUGCUCUCAAUCGUUAGCCAUUAGAGAAAUGCAAAUUAAAACUACAAUAAGAUUCCAUCUCACUCCAAUGAGCCUGGCAUUAAUCCAAAAAACACAAAAUUAAUACAUGUUGGAGAGGAUGUGGAGAGAUUGGAACACUUGCACGCUGCUGGUGGGAAUGUGAAAUGGUACAACCACUUUGGAAAUCUAUUUGGCGUUUCCUUAAAAAGCUAUAAAUAAAACUACCAUACAACCCAGCAAUCCCACUCCUCGGGAUAUAUCCUAGAGAAAUAAGAGCCUUUACACGAACAGAUAUAUGCACACCCAUGUUUAUUGCAGCACUGUUUACAGUAGCAAAAAGAUGGAAGCAACGAAGGUGUUCAUCAACGGAUGAAUGGGUAAAUAAAUUAUGGUAUAUUCACACAGUGGAAUACUACGCAUCGAUAAAGAACAGUGAUGAAUCUGUGAAACAUUUCAUAACAUAGAGGAACCUGGAAGGCAUUAUGCUGAGUGAAAUUAGUCAGUUGCAAAAGGACAAAUAUUGUAUAAGACCACUAUUGUAAGAUCUUGAGAAAUAGUUUAAACUGGAAAGAGCACAUUCUUUUGUGGUUAUGAGAGGGGGGAGGGAGGGAG